GUAACGGCCCACCAAGCCAAAGACGGGUUGCCGGGCUGAGAGGUUGAACGGCAACACUGGAACUGAGAUACGGUCCAGACUCCUACGGGAGGCAGCAGUGGGGAAUAUUGCACAAUGGGGGAAACCCUGAUGCAGCGACGCCGCGUGGAGGAUGAAGGCCUUCGGGUUGUAAACUCCUUUUGCAGGGGAUGAGAAUGACGGUACCCUGCAAAUAAGCCACGGCUAACACUGUGCCAGCAGCCGCGGUAAGACAGAGGUGGCGAGCGUUGUUCGGAAUUACUGGGCUUAAAGGGCGAGUAGGCGGUGGAGUAAGUCUGGGGUGGAAUCUUAGAGCUUAACCCUAAAACUGCCUUAGAAACUGCUUUACUUGAGUCAGUGAGGGGAGGGCGGAAUUACUGGUGUAGCGGUGAAAUGCGUAGAUAUCAGGAUGAAGGCCUGUGGCGAAGGCGGCCCUCUGGCACUGUACUGACGCUGANGCGCGAAAGCGUGGGUAGCAAACAGGAUUAGAUACCCUGGUAGUCCACGCACUAAACGGUGGGCAUUANGUGUAG
rnacentral:rRNA from 1 species